rnacentral:rRNA from 1 species
UACGUAGGGGGCUAGCGUUGUCCGGAAUCAUUGGGCGUAAAGAGCGUGUAGGCGGUCCGGUAAGUCCGCUCUGAAAGUCCGGGGCUCAACCCCGGGAGGCGGGCGGAUACUGUCGGGCUAGAGUCCGGAAGAGGCGAGUGGAAUUCCUGGUGUAGCGGUGAAAUGCGCAGAUAUCAGGAGGAACACCGAUGGCGAAGGCAGCUCGCUGGGACGGUACUGACGCUGAGGCGCGAAAGCGUGGGGAGCAAACAGG